rnacentral:rRNA from 1 species
AUUGAACGCUGGCGGCAGGCUUAACACAUGCAAGUCGAGCGGAGAUGAGGUGCUUGCACCUUAUCUUAGCGGCGGACGGGUGAGUAAUGCUUAGGAAUCCGCCUAUUAGUGGGGGACAACAUUCCGAAAGGAAUGCUAAUACCGCAUACGUCCUACGGGAGAAAGCAGGGGAUCUUCGGACCUUGCGCUAAUAGAUGAGCCUAAGUCGGAUUAGCUAGUUGGUGGGGUAAAGGCCUACCAGGGCGACGAUCUGUAGCGGGUCUGAGAGGAUGAUCCGCCACACUGGGACUGAGACACGGCCCAGACUCCUACGGGAGGCAGCAGUGGGGAAUAUUGGACAAUGGGCGGAAGCCUGAUCCAGCCAUGCCGCGUGUGUGAAGAAGGCCUUUUGGUUGUAAAGCACUUUAAGCGAGGAGGAGGCUACCUGGAUUAAUACUCUAGGAUAGUGGACGUUACUCGCAGAAUAAGCACCGGCUAACUCUGUGCCAGCCGCCGCCGUAACAC